rnacentral:lncRNA from 10 species
CUUCAUUUGAAAAAUGGGAAAAAGAAGUAAUAUCACGUACCUUGACCAUGGUAUCAGAGAAUGACCUCAGAAGUUGUGAGGGAAUUCUCAGACAAAACUUUGAAAUAUAAUCCAGGAUUCAAUCAGUAUAAAGGACGCUCAGCAUAACCCAAGAAGGUCACAGACCAGAAUCACUGGCUGAAACCUCUGGCAGUGACCAACCUCAACUCAAAAGGUUGGUGGUGGAAUGGGAAGUGGAGAUGGGAAUUCUGCUUAAGCA